CCCUUAGAUGUCCGGGGCUGCACGCGCGCUACACUGAAGGAAUCAGCGUGCUAAAACCACUGUCGAAAGGCAUUGGUAAACCCAUUAAAAUCCUACGUGAUUGGGAUCGGGAAUUGCAAUUAUUUCCCUUGAACGAGGAAUUCCCAGUAAGUGUGGGUCAUAAGCUCGCGUUGAUUACGUCCCUGCCCUUUGUACACACCGCCCGUCGCUGCCCGGGACUGAGCCGUUUCGAGAAAAGCGGGGACUGCUGCUGUCGGGGCUUUCGGGCCUUGGCUUCGGUGGAAACCGCUUUAAUCGCAGUGGCUUGAACCGGGCAAAAGUCGUAACA
rnacentral:rRNA from 1 species